CCUGCUGACAUCCUGACUAACAUGCACAUGAUCAGAUCUCAAAAAUGAGUAGCACCAUGUUGCUCCUGAUGAUUGAAUAGCUUGGUUUGAAUAGUUCAGAAAUGAAUUGAAAGAGGUUCCUUCUGUGGACAAGUCACAGCCAGUGUGGCAAAGCUCUGCUGCAGUGGAUUGAUCUUCCAGUUUGAUUCUAUUACCAUGGUUUCUAAAAGAAGCCGGUCAGCCUCCAUUUGAGAUCAUCAUUGCAGCUAAAAGGUAAAACAAACUGUGUUUCUUUUAUAUAUUCAAUAGUUAGGGACUAUGUCAGGCAAGGAUGACCAGAUAGGACAAAUGAAGCAUUGAAGAACAAGCAUCAGUGACAGCUUUGGUCCAUAGAAAAGUACUAAACAGCUGGCCAACCAAUCUAAUUAAAAAAUAUCAGGAUGUGGCCAGGUGCAGUGGCUCACACCUGUAAUCCCAACACUUUGGGAGGCCAAGGUGGGUGAUCACCUGAGGUCAGGAGUUUGAGACCAGCCUGGAUAACAUGGUGAAACCCUGUCUCUAUAAAAAAUACAAAAAUUAGCUGAGCAUGAUGGUGGGUGCCUGUAAACCCAGCUACUUGGAAGGCUGUGGCAGGAGAAUUGCUUGAACCAGGGAGGUGGAGGUUGCAGUGAUUCGAGAUCAUACCACUGCACUCCAGCCUGGGCAGUAGAGUGAGACUCUUGCCAAAAAAAAAAAAAAAAGAAAAAAAGAACAAAAAUCAAGAUGUGUCCUACUUCAAUUGAGUCCUUCCUUUAAAACAAAAAGAAUUGGGAAGCUCUACUACAGACCAUCCACAGACCUAAAACAUGAACCCUCACAAUUUAACUUUGCUUCUUUCUCUUCUUUCUUCAAGAUUCAGUUUUGCAGAUAGGAAUUUAAAAUUAAUAAGGCUAAUAAUUAUAUUCAAGGCAUAAUAUUGGGAGUCAUAGUACCAAGGUUUGAAAUUAUUGUAUACCUAAGUUCAGAACCUGUGCUCUUCCUACUAUUCUCACUGCCCCUAGAGCACUAGAAAUGGACCAUAAACUAGAGAGGUCCUGGUAACUACCAUAAAAAAUAGAUACAAGUAAAUGUUUUCCAAAUGACAGAUUUCCUACUACUUAAUAAUCUGGCAUAGUAAGAGGUCAGGACUCAGAGGUCUAGAAACAGGAAUUUUUUUUUAAAAAAAAGACUAGGUACCUGCCUCUCAUUACCUUACCAUUUCAAUAAUGUCA
rnacentral:lncRNA from 1 species